rnacentral:rRNA from 1 species
UGGGGAAUCUUGCGCAAUGGGCGAAAGCCUGACGCAGCGACGCCGCGUGCGGGAAGAAGGCCUUAGGGUUGUAAACCGCUUUCAGGAGGGACGAAGCCACUCGGGUGAACAGCCCAGAGGGUGACGGUACCUCCAGAAGAAGCCCCGGCUAACUACGUGCCAGCAGCCGCGGUAAUACGUAGGGGGCAAGCGUUGUCCGGAUUCAUUGGGCGUAAAGAGCGUGUAGGCGGCCAGGUAGGUCGGUUGUGAAAACUGGAGGCUCAACCUUCAGACGUCGACCGAAACCCCCUGGCUAGAGUCCGGGAGAGGAGAGUGGAAUUCCUGGUGUAGCGGUGGAAUGCGCAGAUAUCAGGAAGAACACCCGUGGCGAAAGCGGCUCUCUGGAACGGUACUGACGCUGAGACGCGAAAGCGUGGGGAGCGAACAGG